rnacentral:lncRNA from 1 species
CCUCUCUUUCUCUCCGAUUUUCCCGAAGAAGAGCCGCGGGCACUGUUGGGUUUCUCGCCGUGUUUUCUCGCCGGUGAGGUCACCGGAGGCCGGGGGUGAGCCUUCCUUUCCUUCCUCUCUUCCUUCCCUUUCUUUUCGUGUUUUUUAUUGUGGCUGCCGGCGACGAGUGUCGUCGAUCUACAGUCGGGAAAGAGACUCUGUUUUUGGGUCUCUUUUCCUUGAUUUUUUCGAUGCCGGCAAUCGGAAUCGAUCGUCGGCCACGCUCCUCCGUGGUCGGGGG